UACGGGGGGGGCAAGCGUUGUUCGGAAUCACUGGGCUUAAAGGGCGCGUAGGCGGGCCAUCAAGUCCGGGGUGAAAUCUUUCGGCUCAACCGGAAAAGUGCCUUGGAUACUGGUGGUCUUGAGUGAGGUAGGGGCAUGUGGAACUUCCGGUGGAGCGGUGAAAUGCGUUGAUAUCGGAAGGAACUCCGGUGGCGAAAGCGACGUGCUGGACCUCUUCUGACGCUGGAGGCGCGAAAGCUAGGGGAGCGAACGGG
rnacentral:rRNA from 1 species